UAGAACAAUGGAAAGAACUGGGGGGUACCUGGCAAGGAGAAAACAAUUUCAUUGGUUUUAUUGGUGGGCCAGGGGCAGGAGGGAGUGACAGAAGAUAACCACCUUCAAAAAUCUGAAGGUCUGAAGGACCAUCACCUCUUAGUGGCUCUAUGUUAUGGGGUGAGUUGCACCUCCCUAAAAUUGAUAUUAAAGUCCUAACAACCAGUCAGAAUGUUGACUCCUUGGACAUAGGGUCUUCAAAGAUGUUACCAAGUUAAAACAAAGUCAUUAGGAUACGCUCUAAUUCAAUAUGACUGGUGUCCCUAUAAGAAGGAAAUUUGGACAGAUAAUUACAGAGCAAAGACCACCAUCUUAUAAGCCAAGGAGAGACAGCUCAGAAGAAAUCAACCUGCCAUCACCUUGAUCCCAGACGUAUAGCACCCACAACUAGCCACCUAGUCUGUGGUACUUUGUUAUGGCAGUGCUAGGACACUUAAUAUGCUCUAAAAGACGGAAUCAGAACUGAGGAGCAGAAGUUUGGUUCAGUGGAAGGAAGAACUUUCUGACAAUCAGUAUUCUACAAGAAGAGAAUGCCUCCUCAAUGCCCAAUGGCUAUGAGGGUCGAUAAAAAGGCAGGCUCAGCUCACCAUUAAUGCAAUAGCAGAGCCUGGGGCCUCAUCAAAAGCUACUGAGGCAAAAGGCUGAAUGCCCCAGGCUAGGGAGAGAUCAACUGCUAAUAACAUCCAUCAGCCAAGAAGUGCAGCAAAGCCAAACAGAGCAAGCCUGCAAUGAUCAGGAGAGGGCUCUGACUAAUCUGACCGGCCUGCCCCAGCUGUACCUGCUGAAGGUGCAUUAUACAUCACAACCUGCUGAGCCCCAGGCAGCACAUGCGAGCAGAGUAGGACACCGAAGCCUGGCCAUCCAUAAAGAGACACCUUCACACACAUUGCCCAGGUCACCAUGCUGGUCUGAAAGCUUUCAGGUCAGCCAAAGAGCAGAUUCCUGAGCUAAAUCAGAAGAGGAAAAAAAAAAAAAAACUCAGCCUGAAGAAAGUCAAGAGACAAAUAGAAGUGCCUUAAGCAAUCUCAUGCAGGCAGGAUGAUACAGAGAGGUGGCCUUUACCAAGGAAGCAAAAAGAAGGGUGUGUGUGUGUGUGAAGCCAAAGUGCCUUCGCCAAAGCUGCAAAGGAAACAAAAAUAAACUAACAGGAUAAAAGGAAAGCUGUUGCAUGAGGAAGAACUUUUGCUCCAGUGAGAGAGAGAGAGAGAGAGAGAGAGAGAGAGAGAGAGAGAGAGAGAAAGAGAGAGAGAGAGAAGAAAAAGAAAGCACACACUGAAAUGAUCUAAAGCUGCCUAUAAAUAUUUGGGAACAUCAAAGGCGGUCCUGUUAAAUUAAAAAUGCUGUCACACAGAUAGGAACUAGCCUCUAGCACUGCCAGCUUCAACAUGUGAGCCUGUGAUCUGAGGAGCGAAGGCUCAGCUCCUCAAGAAAUCUGAUUCACUACAGAAAAAAGUGAAGGAGCAGUUGAGUUUUAAUAAGGGCAUUAAAUACCUUAGGAAUGAGCUAAUUAGAGUUUAACUCUUUCAAGAUUGUCCGAGCUCUUAAGAAUGCUGUAAAAUAAGCUCCCUCCAAAAUCUAGUUAAAUCGGUCUCAAAACCUGCAAUAGGAAAGAAAAGAAUUAAAAUAGCACCUUAGGACUUCAAAGCUGAUAAAUCCCACCAGGUCAUCGCAGACUUAAAGGCAGAGGCCAAGUGAAGAGAAGGAGGGAAGGUUAACUAAGAUUUGUUUUCUGAGGUGAGGUUGCUUGUUUUGAGACAUUUUUUUUUUUCUAGUUUAGACUAGAUAAGAACAAGCUCACUUUCUAUGCCAGACUCAUCCUACCCUGCGAGUAUGCCCUUUGCCCAAGACACUCUGAGGAGAGAUACAGGGCGUUGAGGGGGAAGCCCUGCUGACCUCCCUCGCUCACUUGCUCCCUCAAAUGCCACACGAGAAAUUCUGGCUGAGCCUCCAAGAUACACUUAAGGUCACUACGGGAAGUCACUCUACAGUUUUCCCCACACACGCUAUGGAUCAGAAUUCCAAGGAACCAGGAAGAGUCCCCAGUUAGGAAAUUUCUAUCGGGAUAGCAAAUCCUUUUGUCCUUGAAGCAGGAAGAAGUGGAACCUCCUCUUGGGAAAGCACACACACACCCCUUCAGAGAAAGAGCGUCUAUCGCCAGUCUCAGGAAUGUGAGAGCAGGAGGCAGACAGCAACAGAAACCACCUUCUCCACGGAAGGGGAGGAAUGCGCAGCCUAGUCUUGGGGGGGCGGGGGGGGUAAAAAAAACCCACAAUACACUCCAAUUAUUCCCAUUUUUAGACAAAGUCAAUGUGUCUAAUUUGGGGGGUUAAGAUUAAUAAAGUAUUUGCUUUGGCAA